AGACUGUCAUCCAUGUAUGAAUAGGAACAGUUGGUGGCGGUAUGUGCCUAAGGUGCAGAAUACGCCAAAAAAUCCAAGGAAGAAGAAGAAGAGGAAAGAGAGAUCUGUUUGGCGAAGUGGAAGCAUGGUUUUCUCCUCAAGUAUUCAAUACAUUACAAUACAGUCCAGAUUGAGAAAUAUGUGUUUCAAGCUCAAUCAUAAAGCAGCGAGUGACCGACAGCCCAUCCACUUUGGAGCCCAUCAGGACACCCACUUUCACUUUGGUUGGCACCGAAGAGCACAGAGAGCGCACAGGAAGCACCAGCCACCAGGAAGUGGCUCACCUCACUUCACCAGGCACCCUACACUGUUAAAUAAAUAAAAUCCUUAAAUUAG
rnacentral:lncRNA from 1 species